ensembl:lncRNA
GGGGGGUUCAAUCUUGGUUUCAUCAGACAUGAGAAUCUUGUUUCCCAUGGUCUGAGUCCUUUAGGUUCCUUUUGGCAAACUCCAAUUGGGCUGUCAUGUUGGGCCACCCUACCAUAAAGGUCCUUCUGGAAAGUGCUCCCAUCUCCACAGAGGAACUCUGGAGCUCUGUCAGAGUGACCAUCGGGUUCUUGGUCACCUCCCUGACGAAGGCCCUUCUUGGUCAGGGGAGAGAUGGUAAUGAGACAGGGUAGAGAUGGAAGGAAGACAGGGGAGAGAUGGUAAUGAGACAGGGUAGAGAUGGAAGGGAGACAGGGGAGAGAUGGAAGGGAGACAGGGGAGAGAUGGUAGGGAGACAGGGGAGAGAUGGAAGGGAGACAGGGGAGAGAUGGUAAUGAGACAGGGGAGAGAUGGAAGGGAGACAGGGGAGAGAUGGUAAUGAGACAGGGGAGAGAUGGUAAUGAGACAGGGGAGAGAUGGAAGGGUAGAGAUGGAAGGGUAGAGAUGGAAGGGUAGAGAUGGAAGGGUAGAGAUGGAAGGGAGACAGGGGAGAGAUGGUAGGGAGACAGGGUAGAGAUGGAAGGGAGACAGGGGAGAGAUGGUAGUGAGACAGGGGAGAUAUGGAAGGGAGACAGGGGAGAGAUGGGAGGGAGACAGGGGAGAGAUGGAAGGGAGACAGGGGAGAGAUGGAAGGGAGACAAGGUAGAGAUGGUAGGGAGACAGGGGAGAGAUGGAAGGGAGACAGGGGAGAGAUGGAAGGAGACAUGGGAGAUAUGGAAGGGAGACAGGGUAGAGAUGGAAGGGAGACAGGGGAGAGAUGGAAGGGGAGAGAUGGAAGGGAGACAGGGGAGAGAUGGAAGGGAGACAGGUGAGAGAUGGAAGGGAGACAGGGGAGAGAUGGAAGGGGAGACAGGGG